ensembl:lncRNA
GUAUAGUGAGUAUGUGCUGCUGUUUCAUUGUUCUCUUCCCCUCUCAUUCCUACCCUCCCUCUUCGCUCUUUUCAGGUGCCACCGGCUCUCGACCGUGAGCUGACACUGAUGUGUGCUGUCACCUCUGCUGCACCUGGAGGUGGGACUGAAACGUAUUCGCACAGGACGGGAAAUCUCAGGCCUUUCGCAUGCCAGUGCAGCGGUGACUCCAACAAAGAUGGCGGACCUCAAUUCUCCCUUUUGGCUUUUUAUAGGCCCCAUUAUUUCUUUGUUGGUGUACUGUAUUUUCUGAAAACGCAAACUAAUAUCAGACAUAAUCUAAUUGCCAUUGCUUCAAAAAAGAAGGCCUGUGUGUGUGUGUGUGUGUGAGAGAGAGAGAGUGAGUGAGUGAAUGAAGAGUGACUCACUCGCUGACUGCUCAUCAAUGCUUCAUAGGUUAGAUCAUUAGAUCUAAAGUGACAGCACUACACAAGGAUGGGGAGUGGGGGUUGCUUAGAUAAAGAUUGGCAUAUCGCUAUUGAUUCACCAUCCCUGGGGCUUCCUCUGUUACCAUGGUUAUAGCCAGCGGGGGGUGGGGUAGGCAUGUCAUUUUGACACAAGGAGAAUGAUGUAACCAUUAUGAUUCUGAUUUUAAAAUUUUACGAUCGCGUUUGAAUAAUCUCUCAAUUCCCCUGAACUUUAUUGCUUGGCAAAAGAAUGAUAACUCUUGAUUUGCCCCGAAAUGUAUGGCAUCGGAGGUGCAGAUAAUCAGAGUUAGUGUGCUUCCGAUGUGCAUGUCGCUGCAGAUAACCAUCUGUGAUCCUAUAACCAUUACUCUAACCCAUAACAACGGCCGCGCUUUGGAUAUACGAGUCAGGGUUUUCAUUGUGAGCGGAUAGGGGUUUGAAAAAAAAAAAAUUCCCGUCGCUGUUCUCGUUGAACUGCCAAACGCUUCAGCUGUCCUUCUAAAGCAGCCUGAAAUAAGAGCGGGCCUCAAGAGCUCUUUGAUCUUUUACUACCAGGGUCAGGGCUGAAAUGACGCGUAAAUGAGGGAGGAAUGAGUUUUCAUUUUGUCAACCUGUUCUGUUAUUGUAAAGCUAAGGGGCCUUUGGUGUGACAUGACAGGAGAUUGUUUUAAGUGCCCACACCAGUGGAACGGCUGGACAUGUUUGGGUGUCGCGGCCAAAAAGCUGUUCACCUACAUUACUUGCAGAUAUUUACUGUGUCUAGUGAACAGCUGUAAGAGGUUGCCUAGAUACAAUGUGUGUGUGUGUGUGUGUCAUUCAAAAGAGUCUACAUUCACAUGUGGUCAUGUAUAGGCAGGUUAUGGGUGAGAAUUUGUAUACUUCCACAACUCACGGGUGCCAGUACGAGUUCCUGAAUUGUGCAUGCAAUACUCCCCGAACACACCUGCUGGCUGUGGAGCGCUGUAGAAAAGAUGAAGAGGAUCCUCCAUCGGUACGAUAGCAGAGCAAAAGCAGCAGAAGUAACUGUUUGGCUAAAAGGGAGCAGCCUCUGUAGCUGUUUACGGCGCUCAGAUUUCCAGAGGAGUGGAGCCCGUGCUGGAGGUGCAUAAAGAGAGAAACCCCUGGAGCUGACAAAAGGCAAACGAAGAAGCGGAGGGGAGGAAGAUCGGGUGCCGUAUCCAUCGUUCAAGUCUCGGCUUGCGUUCAGUAGUUCAAUAUUACACCCACUCCACCCAUUUUUUGAUUUGAAACUGACAGUUUUUUUUUUCUGAAGCGCUUUACUCCAUAUCACAGGGAGGAAAUGAGAGCACUGAAUUCCACAAGAUGUGAAAGGUGAAAAAUGGAGAAAAACACCCUCCUCCUCCAGAUGUAAAAAAGGAAAACACCCAAAACACAGAGUGAAAACAAAUACAUAAAUAAAUAAAUCAACAAUAGGAGCUGCAGCUGAGAAGGGAGACAUUGCGAAAAAUUGCAGUGGGGAUAUUUUAAAUUGCCGUUGUAUAAAUAAUUUAGGUACCUGUGACAGUGUUGUUGUUCACCAUAAUGUUUGAUGCAUCAGAGAAAGGAGUAAGAUUAAGAAGCCUUUUUUUUUAUAAUUGAUGCCGCGGUGCACAUCUGGUGUUACGCUGCCACCAGUGCACAGCUAUCCUCUUUACAAAAUGACUGCAAAACUGUCAAUUGUCCCCACAGUUGAAUAGUUAGUGGCAGACUCUGUUCCUUCAGCUGGUAUGAAAAGGGCUAUUGCACACAUCUGAACCAUCUUACUUCUGGAGGCUACCAUAAAAGAUCUAAACCAGACUAUUAUGGGUUUGCAUUGAGUGUUUGACACGUUUUGAACAAAAGGCUGGCUGGAUUGAUGGAGAGAAAUAAUGCUUAUAGCUUUCUUGUGACCUCAACUAGACCUUGUAGAACACCCCAUGAUUCAGAGCGUUGUUAUGCCGGCCUAAUACCAUGUCAGUCCCAAUGCUCACGGUUAGCAUCACUCCUCCCUACCUUCGUCAGUAACUCGGCCGAGCACAAAUGACCCUUGCCAGUGCACUGGGGGCUGGCGUGAACUUAAUCACUUGAGCAAAUUGAAACCACUCGCUCUGCAGUAUUUUUACAGGGGUAUAGCAUAUGACCUCAGCCUAUACUGACUGACCUCUGCUUUUGAAAAGGACUCGAGGCCUGAGGAACAUUUUUUUUUUUCGGGUUGAUCCAUUUUAGGUCGGAAUUACCCCACUUGCUGUGUGAUUUAUAACACUGGCGUAAUUCUCUCAUAGUUGACAUUUAGAGGACGUGGUAAAAGUGUUGUUUUCAGUGUGAAUGUGUUUUUAUCAUUGGGGAGAUCCACCACCUUUUGAAGGCCUUCCGGAGCCCGCAGUAAAGUUUCUGACCCUGAUUACGGGUUCCCAGCUCUGGCUCCUAUCAGCGGGGGAGUAGGGUCAACGGCCCUCAGCAAAAAAAGAACCUUUAGUCAACACAACUGAUCUGACACAGUGUCGGAAUGCUCUGUGAUUGAUUCUUGCUGUCCGUGGGAAAAUAUGUAGUGACUUAAUUUCUUAUAUGAGUCAUCUGCCGCCACGAGAGCAGUGAAAGACAUAUGGCGGUGAAAUAGAAAAAAAGAAAAGCGCUAAUCCAGGCGGACGGGUUACAGGCUAGCUGUUAGCACAUGUUUACCUGUGUCUGUUCUUUUGUUCUUUAUCCCAGAGCUCAGCACUGGGAUGUCGGGGGCAUUGAGAGACUUACACAGGUUCACCAAGAUCUGCUUUCACUCAGACUCAUGUCAUGUCUCAAUGUUCUUGCACAAAAGACAUACAUGUUUUGCACGAAACGCUUGCAGGGGCGAUUCCUCGUGUGUUAGAAUUCUAAGGAAUAGAGGGAAUCCCUUAUGAACUCCCCCAUAACCCCCCCCCAUGCUCCUUCCAGCCCCCUUCUUAAUCGUAAACAGGCUAGCACAUAGUACAGCCACUGCGCCCUUAAUACCUCCUCGAGUACUAAGUAUUUAGUCUUGAUUUACAGAGGCAGUAAAACUCUUCAAAGUGCAGUGUAAUCUUUCAUUAGGGAUCCUGAAGUCGGUGUCAGCCAUAUCUGUUCUGCAUUACCUUUAAUCACUCAGUGUUUUACCUGUUCGUUUUAUUGUAACAAAGAUCAUAAAAACACCCUUGUUAAAAAAACACCCUCCCGACUUUUAGAUUAUCUUGUUAACACAGCCUUAAAAACUUGGCCCAUUGAGCUUUUUUUGGCGGUUUGCACAAAACGGGGUAAAUCUUUUUUUUUUUCUCCACUGUGACUUUAAUUUCUUUUGCUCAUUCGUGCUCAUCAGCUUUUGCUCUUCUUUCUUACUUUGAACUGAAUGUUAAAGCAUAGAACGAAAAAAAAAAAAAAGUGGUUUCAUAAAACAGUACAAUUACAGUAUAUAACUCUGGGAUAUUAAGAGGAGAGACUAAGUGAGUGAUGAUGAGUGUAAGUAUAACUUUUUAACACAGCCCAAUAAUUGACAUAUCACUAAGAGAGCCCCUUUGUAUGAGCUUUUCAAUAAGCCCCUCCACUGAACCAUGCUAUUGAUAUAACCGAUAUAAGGCCACUCUCUGUGGUCUCAACAGGAACUGAGCUGGGUGUAUCCAGGGUCCGGCCCAUGACACUGACCACUGCCCGUCACUGUGACAAGGGGGGGGGGGUUGGGCAUCUCAACCCGAGGUAUUUGACCUGCAUGACCUGUGACCCUUAGAUGAUUGAAGUGGCGGCUUUCCCUGCUCGGUUGCUUCAGCCCAGAGACAAGGUGACGAGUCCUUUAGGAGCUCUCCGGUUGCAAGAUUUUGAAGAGGGUAGAGGCAGAGGAGGCACAGGCGCCGGCCUUUGUUGCGGGCGUUGUUGUAAUCCGUCUGCCAGGCUAAGGCCUAAAGACAUGUCGGCCAGUCAUAAGAAAAGCUGGGCUGUGACCUUGAGUGGUCUCAACUAGUGUCAAUGUGGCUGGUUUGCUCAAGGGCAACUUGGUACUCAUGUAGCCUGAAUGACUCACUUAGUCAAGGCUUGGGUAACACACAGUGUACUUUGUUGAGCAGUGUUAACACACAUCGUAACUUGUGUAGAGGCAUAGUGGUUAGUGUAAUUUUUUGUUGUGCUUCAAAAAGGUAAGAUGACCCUUUUAAAAAACAUUCCCUGUGCUCGUCCCCUUAGAUUCUCCCCAUAGUGUUUACAACUAAAUCAUAUCCCUUAUAGUUCGGAUACUCCAGGUGUUACGUUUCAUUUCUAACUAAUCUAAUAAUCUCUCUUAGUUUUCACCUUGUCUAUGCCUCAAGGUCAAACAACUUUUCUCUCUUUAGUGGUCUCAAAUGUUGCUAGGCUGCUCCCAGGGUCAUCCCUACUAAUCCCCAGUUACUCCAGUCCUGGUGGAUUUCUCCCAUGGGCAGGUGAAACCAGAUCCCAAAUCCUGAAGCUGGGCCAAGAUGUCCGCAGAGAUAAGCAUCCUGAGCCCACUCCCAGUCAGGGGUCUUAGACAAGAAUUCAGAGAUAUAUCAUCACAAAUCCAUUAAGGCCAGCCCACUACUUUAGCCACAAAGCCCAGCUGCGGCCACCAGACCUUACAUCUAGGACCACGUUUAGACUCCAAAUCACCCCAUGACUGGACUUUACUGCCCCAGAUCCCUUCCUCACAUCAGUCUCUACUCUUAUGUCCUACUAUAUGGACCAAGGAAACACUAAAACAGUAUUACUUGUUAGUCACCUCAUCAUGUACAUGAUUCAUAUAAUACAUUUUCUAAGUCUUUUUUUUACUAGAUUUUGUCCCGCAUCAGGAUUAAGUUACUAAAUGGCCAACAUCAAAUAUCCCGUAGAACCGCCAAGGGAAACCUUUUUUACUCAUGUAAUUCUGUCUUAAUCAUGUUUGUACCAGCAAGACACUAGCUGAUGCAAAAAUAUGUGUUUCUUUGGUUUAAAAUAAAUCGCAAAUACACACAUUGUUAAAAAGGAUCCACAAAGUCAUGUGUUAACUUUUUUUAUAAUCUUAAUGUCGCAGUACUACAAAUGUCUGUAUUGCCUCACAUUGAUUCUACUCAGUGUAAAUGUAACAUUUUGAGUAGGUUGACAGACUUGGGUCUACCGUCCGGCUCUUGUCUUCUUGUGGUGUCUGCGGCUUUGCCAACCGCUCAACGUCCGCAUGAGGGGGGGGCAGGCAGUGGCCGUUGGCCACACGGCGGUUGAGUUGACAAUCUGUAGUGAGUGGUGGCAGACUACGCUAUUGUUUGUGGUGCAGUGUUUUUUUUGUGCAGCUUAAAAAGACAGCGCUUGUAUACGACAACCACAAGUGGGAGAUUAGUCUCCUUGUCUCUCCCCAUCUAUCCACUGCUCUGCCUUUCUUGCACCAACAGCAUUGUGUUUUUCGUCAAGGCCCCUUUACCCUUCAGUUAGCAUAGUUUUUAGAGGGAAU